rnacentral:rRNA from 1 species
GAUGAACGCUGGCGGCGUGCCUAAUACAUGCAAGUCGAGCGAAGCGGGGACGGGUGAGUAACACGGGGAUAACCUCCUAUACGACUGGAAUAACUUGGGGAAACAGGAGCUAAACCGGAUAAUUAUAUAUGGAUCAGCGCUGCAUUAGCUAGUUGGUCAGGUAACGGCUUACAAAGGGAACGAUGCGUAGCCGACCUGAGAGGGUGAUCGGCAACACUGGAACUGAGACACGGUCCAGACUCCUACGGGAGGCAGCAGUAGGGAAUCUUCCGCAAUGGGCGAAAGCCUGACGGAGCAACGCCGCGUGAGUGAUGAAGGUCUUCGGAUCGUAAACCUCUGUUAUUAGGGAAGCGGUACCUAAUCAGAAAGCCACGGCUAACUACGUGCCAGCAGCCGCGGUAAUAC